UACGGAGGGUGCAAGCGUUAUCCGGAUUCACUGGGUUUAAAGGGUGCGUAGGAGGGCAGGUUAGUCAGUGGUGAAAUCUCCAAGCUUAACUUGGAAACUGCCGUUGAUACUAUCUGUCUUGAAUAUUGUGGAGGUGAGCGGAAUAUGUCAUGUAGCGGUGAAAUGCUUAGAUAUGACAUAGAACACCAAUUGCGAAGGCAGCUCACUACUCAAUCAUUGACUCUGAGGCACGAAAGCGUGGGGAUCAAACAGG
rnacentral:rRNA from 1 species